rnacentral:rRNA from 1 species
GGCGAACCGUGCGAACGUUGUUCGGAAUCACUGGGCUUAAAGGGCGCGUAGGCGGGCUAUCAAGUCCGGGGUGAAAUCCUCCCGCUCAACGGGAGAACUGCCUCGGAUACUGAUGGUCUCGAGGGGGAUAGGGGCACACGGAACUGUGGGUGGAGCGGUGAAAUGCGUUGAUAUCCAUAGGAACUCCGGUGGCGAAAGCGGUGUGCUGGAUCCCUUCUGACGCUGAGGCGCGAAAGCUAGGGGAGCGAACAGG